rnacentral:rRNA from 1 species
GACGAACGCUGGCGGCGUGCCUAAUACAUGCAAGUUGAGCGCUGAAGGUUGGUACUUGUACCGACUGGAUGAGCAGCGAACGGGUGAGUAACGCGUGGGGAAUCUGCCUUUGAGCGGGGGACAACAUUUGGAAACGAAUGCUAAUACCGCAUAAAAACUUUAAACACAAGUUUUAAGUUUGAAAGAUGCAAUUGCAUCACUCAAAGAUGAUCCCGCGUUGUAUUAGCUAGUUGGUGAGGUAAAGGCUCACCAAGGCGAUGAUACAUAGCCGACCUGGGAGGGGGAACGGCCAAAUUGGGAAUGAGACACGGCCCAAACUCCUACGGGAGGCAGCAGUAGGGAAUCUUCGGCAAUGGACGAAAGUCUGACCGAGCAACGCCGCGGGAGGGAAGAAGGUUGUCGGAUCGGAAAACUCUGUUGGUAGAGAAGAACGUUGGUGAGAGUGGAAAGCUCAUCAAGUGACGGUAACUACCCAGAAAGGGACGGCUAACUACGUG